AGCGAACGCUGGCGGCAGGCCUAACACAUGCAAGUCGAGCGGCCGUAGCAAUACGGCAGCGGCAGACGGGAGAGUAACACGUGGGAACGUACCCUUUGGUUCGGAACAACCCAGGGAAACUUGGGCUAAUACCGGAUAAGUCCGUAAGGAGAAAGAUUUAUCGCCAAAGGAUCGGCCCGCGUCUGAUUAGCUAGUUGGUGAGGUAAUGGCUCACCAAGGCGACGAUCAGUAGCUGGUUUGAGAGGAUGAUCAGCCUCACUGGGACUGAGACACGGCCCAGACUCCUACGGGAGGCAGCAGUGGGGAAUAUUGGACAAUGGGCGCAAGCCUGAUCCAGCCAUGCCGCGUGGAUGAUGAAGGCCCUAGGGUUGUAAAGUCCUUUCGGCGGGGAAGAUAAUGACGGUACCCGCAGAAGAAGCCCCGGCUAACUUCGUGCCAGCAGCCGCGUAA
rnacentral:rRNA from 1 species